CAGAGUAGAGUGCCCUGCGUUAAGUGUCUGUCAGACGGGGAGUUGCUGACAGAACGAAAAGUGAUGCUUUUGCAUACUUGCGGUUCGGCGCUCGCAUCCCGCUG
rnacentral:ncRNA from 1 species